rnacentral:rRNA from 1 species
UUAGAUUUUAUUUAUUAAUUUUGUUUAUUUAUAUUAAAAAUAUUAAAAAUAAUUAUACAGUAAAAUGUUUUAGUAUUGUUUAAAGAAAAAAUAAAUUUAAUAAUAGUUAAAUAGUAUUGUAAAAGAAAAUUGAAAUAAUUUGAAAAAUUUUUAUUUUAAAAGAAAAUUUAAUUUAUUGUACCUUGUGUAUCAGCGUUUAUUAAAUAAAAAAUAUAUACAAUAUUUUUCUCGAUUUUAAAAGAGUUAAUAUAAUAUAAAAGUUAAUGUGAUAAAAUUAUUUUUAAUAUUAUAUUAGAAAUGAAAUGUUAUUCGUUUUUAAAGGUAUCUAGUUUUUCAAGAAAUAAAUUUAAUUUAGAAAUUAUAAAUUUAUUUAAAAAAUUUUUUAAUUAAAUAAUUUAUAAUUUUAAUAUUUUAUGGGAUAAGCUAUAAAAUAAAUUUUUAAAAAUAAUAAAUGAAUUUAAUAAAUAUAUGCUUAAAAUUAGCAAUUGUUUGUAAAUAUGUUAUAAUUUAUUUUAUAAAUAAAAUUAUUUAUUGAAUUUUAAAUAUUUAUUGAAAUAUUAAUUUUAAUUUUUAAAAUUAAGUAAUAAUGAUAGAAUUAGUAUAUAUUUAUUGUAAAAAUAUAUUUAAAUGAAAAGUUUAUGUAAAG